UUGUUGGUAAGGUAAAAGCUUACCAAGGCUUCGAUCAGUAGCUGGUCUGAGAGGACGACCAGCCACACUGGGACUGAGACACGGCCCAGACUCCUACGGGAGGCGGCAGUGGGGAAUUUUGGACAAUGGGGGCAACCCUGAUCCAGCCAUGCCGCGUGAGUGAAGAAGGCYUUCGGGUUGUAAAGCUCUUUCAGCCGGAACGAAACGGUUACGGAUAACACCCGUGACUACUGACGGUACCGGGAGAAGAAGCACCGGCUAACUACGUGCCAGCAGCCGCGGUAAUACGUAGGGUGCGAGCGUUAAUCGGAAUUACUGGGCGUAAAGCGUGCGCAGGUGGUUUUGUAAGUCAGAUGUGAAAGCCCCGGGCUCAACCUGGGAACUGCGUUUGAAACUACAAGACUAGAGUGUGGCAGAGGGGGGUGGAAUUCCGCGUGUAGCAGUGAAAUGCGUAGAGAUGUGGAGGAACACCGAUGGCGAAGGCAGCCCCCUGGGUCAACACUGACGCUCAGGCACGAAAGCAUGGGGAGCAAACAGGAUUAGAUACCCUGGUAGUCCAUGCCCUAAACGAUGUCAACUAGUUGUCGGGCCUUUACGGGCUUGGUAACGUAGCUAACGCGUGAAGUUGACCGCCUGGGGAGUACGAUCGCAAGAUUAAAACUCAAAUGAAUUGACGGGGACCCGCACAAGCGGUGGAUUAUGUGGAUUAAUUCGAUGCAACGCGAAAAACCUUACCUACCCUUGACAUGUAUCGAAGCCCGCAGAAAAGCGGGGGUGCCCGAAAGGGAACGAUAACACAGGUGCUGCAUGGCUGUCGUCAGCUCGUGUCGUGAGAUGUUGAGUUAAGUCCCGCAACGAGCGCAACCCUUGUCAUUAAUUGCCAUCAUUUAGUUGGGCACUUUAAUGAGACUGCCGG
rnacentral:rRNA from 1 species